CUCGGCAAUGGUCGCAUGUACAAAAUGCUUUAGGCCUGAAACCAGUGAACUGGGCUUGGGCAUGUAUAUGAUAGGCAGUGCGCUGGAUCAGUGGAAGCAAUCCGUCCGAGCUCCUUUCACAGGCUGAACUCAGGCGAUCUUCUUUACCAUCUCAGUUCAGGUGGGAAACAAAUGAUCUCAUCAUAUUCGGACCAUCCACACUCUUCUUCAAUUUAUUGUUUGCGGGAACUUGCAUUUCUGUUGUUACUUUGAAAAGAAUUCAAGUGUUGGUAGUUGGUAUACUUUUGCAAAAGAACAGCGCACAGUAGCCAAUGGCAGAACUUGUUUAACCAGGCAGCUCUUGGCAGAGACAUACAUGUCGCCACAUGUCGCCACAAAGAGUUUCCAAUGCUUAUUCUGAUUUUUUGACAUGUGUACCUACCUGAAAAGAGAUGUUUUGUCUUGUAGACAGCUAGUGUAGUAGUGGUUAACUGAACUGCCGGCGGUCAUUGUCUCUUUCAUUAUCCGUAUAAUGUAGUUGACCUAGUUUACUACAGCCACUUGAUGACCUCAUCCAGUCCAGCACGUGAGACAUCACUCAAGACGAACUUGUGCUCGCUUACAAAACUUGCAUCGUCGUUUAGAUUUUUUGUGUGACUGUUGGAACCUUUUGUUGUGAGAAUCUUCCUGGUUCAGUAUCUACAACCCUACUAGAAUCACAUGUCUAAAUAAUGCACACUCACUUAACCUUUUGGUAAGGACAUUUUGUUGCAUGCAUAAAACUCAUGUUUCCUCUUACUGGUCUGAACAGGAAUAAUGAACAUGGACUCCUAACUGUCAUAUUCUGUUCCUCUGAAUCUUUG
rnacentral:lncRNA from 1 species